GCUGCGGUAAUUUGACUGUACUAAGGUAGCACAAUCAUUUGCCCUUUAAUUGUGGGCUGGUAUGAAUGGGUAAACGAGGGUAAAGCUGUCUCUUGUAUAUGACUAAAAGUUAAACUUUAAGUGAAUAUGCUUAAAUAGGGGUAAAAGACAAGAAGACCCCAAGAGCUUUAAUAAAAUCUCAGAUAAGGCUAUAUUUGAGUGUUAUUUUGGUUGGGGCGACAGAGGACUAAACUAUAGCGUCUUUUUUAGUGAAGAAUUUGAUUCUUUGUUGAUCCGUUGUGCGAUUAGAAGAAGUAGCUACCUUGGGGAUAACAGGCUAAUUUAUUCGGAGAGUCCCUAUUGAUGAAUUAAGUUUGGCACCUCU
rnacentral:rRNA from 1 species